rnacentral:rRNA from 1 species
CCUACGGGAGGCAGCAGUGGGGAAUAUUGCACAAUGGGGGAAACCCUGAUGCAGCGACGCCGCGUGAGUGAAGACGUAUUUCGGUAUGUAAAGCUCUAUCAGCAGGGAAGAAACUGACGGUACCUGAUUCAGAAGCCCCGGCUAACUACGUGCCAGCAGCCGCGGUAAUACGUAGGGUGCACGCGUUAUACGGAUUUACUGGGUGUAAAGGGAGCGUAGACGGCAGCACAAGUCUGGAGUGAAAUGCAGGGGCUUAACCCCGGAACUGCUUUGGAAACUGUGCAGCUAGAGUGCAGGAGAGGUAAGUGGAAGUCCUAGUGGAGCGGUGAAAUGCGUAGAUAUUAGGAGGAACACCAGUGGCGAAGGCGGCUUACUGGACUGUAACUGACGUUGAGGCUCGAAAGCGUGGGGAGCAAACAGGAUUAGAUACCCUAGUAGUC